UAAUAGCGUAUAUUAAAGUUGUUGCGGUUAAAAAGCUCGUAGUUGAAUUUAAAUAGUCGCCGUGCGCGCGUCGGGUAAUGCUCGGCUGUGUGUGCGACGGCUAUCUUCUCUACUGUACGUUUGGCGCGCAGACUUUAUUGACUGCGUGUUCAGAUUACAGUUCUUUUACUUUGAGUAAAUUAGAGUGUUCAAAGCAGACGAAAUUUUCGGUCACUGAAUACAUUAGCAUGGGAUAAUGAAAUAGGACUUUAGUGUUAUUUUGUUGGUUUCUAACGUUGAAGUAAUGAUUAAUAGGGACAGUUGGGGGCAUUAGUAUUUAGCUGUCAGAGGUGAAAUUCUUGGAUUUGUUAAAGACUAACUAGUGCGAAAGCAUUUGCCAAGGAUGUUUNCAUUAA
rnacentral:rRNA from 1 species